rnacentral:rRNA from 1 species
GAUCCUGGCUCAGGAUGAACGCUGGCGGCGUGCUUAACACAUGCAAGUCGAACGAAGCACUUAUCUUUGAUUCUUCGGAUGAAGAGGUUUGUGACUGAGUGGCGGACGGGUGAGUAACGCGUGGGUAACCUGCCUCAUACAGGGGGAUAACAGUUAGAAAUGACUGCUAAUACCGCAUAAGACCACAGAGCCGCAUGGCUCAGUGGGAAAAACUCCGGUGGUAUAAGAUGGACCCGCG